rnacentral:misc_RNA from 1 species
AAAUAACUAAGGUUGAAAUUGCCUCCACUGAACAUGGCUUGCAACAUAUCCUGCUGAAGCUAAUGAUACUUGGUUCAUCAUUUAAGCCACCAUUGAAACUGUUUUUCAGUUUUCCAAACAUAGGUAGGAGCUUCCAUUCAUGCUCUAUGAUACGGUAUAAUUAUCAAUGAAAUUUACUAAAACAGUAGAGUAACAAUGAGUGCAUGAAGGCUCAAAUACAAAAAUAUUUACAAAUGAAAGCUAAGCGUGACAAGGGACAAUAAUACCAAAAUUUGUCCCUGUAACCCGUAAAUUCAGCCUUGGAAGCGAGGGUAAUGUGGACUGUUUUUCUCUGUAGUUAGAGAAGAAGAAUCUAUGUACAAACAGAUGAUUAUUCUGCAAUGCUUGCUCAUCGAAGGUAGAUCCUCUGAGCCGCAUUUUUUGGAUGUUUACCCCUCUUUAGACUGCUGAUUUUUUCCUGCACAAAAUAAGUUCAUGGAAAAAUCAGAAAUUGAGUGAAACUGUCACAAAAAUGGUGUGGUGUAAAAAGUUCAAGUUUCUUAAUGGUAUUCUUUUUUUUAAUUCAAUAACAUCGCCGUGAAGACAUUGCAUUCUGACUUGAAAAGAACUGUUGUCUCUUGAAGCUCCAAAACAUACCACCAGAAUUUACAGCCAAAUAAGUAAUUUUCAAGCGUUUAAAUAGACCAAUGCGGCAGCAUAAAAGUUUAAAGGGUCGUUAACCUACAGAGCUGUGGCUAUGGCCUUUUCUGGAGGCAGAAGAGCUGCUCAGGGUCAAGGGAAAAGGGGUGAUUGAUCAAUCUAAUUUGUCUCAGCAGCAACUAAAUCUAACCUUUGCUUGCAUGUUAAUUGUGAUAUAUGAGAAAAAUAAAAAUAGAGCAACAACCAACAUUCUUUCAGAUAAAAGCCAAGAUGACUGAAAAUAGUUUAUUCAACAGUCUCCAUUUAAUUGUCCAGAAUUUGUGGGAAGGGUGGGAAGCCUAACAGAAAAGUCCAACUGCGCAUUUGUGAAUCUAAACAAAAAUACAGCCCAAAACUUAAAUUAGAAAAAAUAAUAUUUCCUAUUGUCCUUGUAAAUAAAAAAAAGCCUGGGAAUAACUUCUAGCAAUAAAUCAAAUUCAUCAUACUUCUAGCAUUACUUUAACUUCAUCAUGCAUAAGACUGUUUCCACAAGGUAUAAGAAAAAGAAAUGCAAACAAAAUAAAAUUUUCUUAUAACAGAAGUCCCAAUUAAAUUUCUAAUCAAUGGAACACAGUUGCCCAUUUCAGAUUUUUCUGAUUGGGUGCACUAUUAAGUUGAAGAAUAAAAGCAGAAACUUUGAUUUUAACAUUCUUUGAGCUCUAACAUUAUUUUCUUCAAGUUCCCAUCAGCCUAAAUAACCUAAAAACUAGUCAUUGAAAGUCACAGGACAGUUUUAUGUUACUUAAUUUAAGAUUAGAAGUUUUGCGUUACAAAUUGAAGUUUAAAUACCUUACUGUUACACACGCCUAAGUUGAGGUACUGUCUGUAUAAUUUACCCCAAGUUCAAUCAUAUAGUUUUCAGAAAAGAGUAAACAAAAGCAGUGUUUUGAGGCUACACAAAUGAUAAUCAAUGGUAUUUACCUUUGGGCCAACCAAUCUUGUUCUAUCAUACUUUAGUGGAACAUUCUGUUUUGCCUCCUUCCGACCACUAGCUAUGACUCCAGUAGCAUCGUCUCCAUGACUGAAUUUUUGGCUCAAGGGCACUCUUCCUGUUGCAUUCUCAUUUCCACCACCCACCAAUCUAUUGUGCCUACCCACUGUAACCUUCUCUUUAGCCUUUGUAACACCAGCCAAUGAACCUUGUUCGUUAACCCUAUGCUGCAGCAAAGCUUUCACGUGCAGGGUCUGAUUUUGGACCUGCAAGAAUUUAGAACAACUAAUAUGCUUAUGAUGUUUUAUGAAAUUGUAACAUAUGUGUUCUGAAAUUUUACACUAUAACCUUUGACUUUGCAACUUCUUGAUGGGCUGUCUUUGAAAAUGUCCCUUCCCUUCUAACAUUGCCAACUCCCAUUUUAACUUGAACAUUAGAAGCCUUGGACACAUUACAAUCUUUUACCUUGUUCUUUGUUGCUCUAGUCAUUCUUGCUGCAUUUCUGCUAUCUGGGGUGCAUUCUUUAUGCUGCACCAAUGCAAAUGUAUAACUCUUAAAAUCAAAGUGAUGGUUCGAAGAUGAUCCCAUCCUAGAUUUGCCAGACACAGAAUUGUGACCUCUUGAUUGCCUCCUACUAUUAUUAUUAAAACCCCCCCUUGAUGCUUGUCUUGUAACACAGCUUUUCCUAAGGCUAAUCCUCAUUGCUGAUAAAAGUCCACUUGAAUAACCAAAAGCUUGACUUGAUACCUCCAGGUUUCUUUGCUGUGGUUUUUGACCACUCUCAGAAGUAAUGGUGCUUGUUUUGCUUGCACCUGCCUUAUCCACCACAGAACUUGAACUACCUUCAAAGUCUCCAUGAUUAGAUACAGCUUUCAAACCAUUUUCUUUUACAUUUUCAGUUAAAUCCUUCUCAAGAACAAAACUUAUUUUUGACCUUGAAGUUCUAUUAGAAUUUAUAAAGCUUUGUUUGGGUUUUAUUUCCUUGCCAGAUCCUGAAUUCACCCAUGAAGAAUUCCCAUUUAAAACCUUAACUGGAUGCUGCUUAUUCAAUGAACCAGAUUUGUUGCUUGCAUAGUGCUUGCCUCUGGAUCUUGAAACUGAGGAUGGAAGCUUAGGUGAAGAUGGCCCCUUCAGAUCAAUGUCAGAUGACAUACUGCCCUCACCAGAAUGAGCAAAUUGUGCUUUUAGCUGAUGAGAAGAACAGUGGUGGAACCUGAAUAUCAUAUCGAUUAAGCUUUAAUAAGCCUUAUUAUUUCACAAGAAAAAAUAAUCCCAUGGCAGAAUGGAUAACUAAGAGAAACAUUAAAAAUUUCAUAACUAAAUAAGAAAACAAUUAACCAAAGGAAAGAAGAUGCUUACUCAUGGCUAGUAUAAAACCACCCAUCAUCACUGCAAAGUAGCACAAAUAAUUUUAGUUUCACAGAUAUAAAAUUCAACUAUUUCUGAGAGAAAAUGGAAGUCUAAGUUUGUAGGCAAUUACACAGACACUUACAUGUCUUGGUAAUUAGAUUUUGCUUCUAGGGUAAGAUCUACCCACAUUGGUGCUUCAAUUUCUUGCUACAUAUCAAUCAACAAUGAUUAAUAAGAUAAUUCAAGAUAAUAAAAAAGAAAGUACCAAGGGCCAUAAUUUGGGAACACAAGGUCUGUGAUUAGUGAACAAUUAAACAUGAAAAAGAAAAUAGCCAAAUAUAUGUCAUAAAUUUCCUCAAUUUGGUUGGUAUAAAAAAAUUAUGGAAAAGAACAGAUAUCACAAUUUUAUUUUGGGUAAAUAUAUUCUGAAAUUUUCCAGUUUAGAAAAAAAAAAACUCGAAUUGUUUUACUUUUCCUACAUUCUCCCAGAGAUUCAAUAAAGCUUAAAACACAGCAGGCAUAUUAACCCGCUCCUUGACAAGAAGAUAAAAACCGUACAAAAGAAAAUCAACAAAGAUAUGACAUAUUAUAUAACAUGAAUAUCUCCCAUGAUUCUAUCCAAGACUCAGCAGUGCCAACGAAAGACAAUUAGCAGAGAUGUUAUUUAGAAACCAAUCAAUAACACAGCAGAAAAAACACUCAAGAACACAUCCAAAAAUUGCAAUCAAUACCUGAUAAAAACAGACAAGACCACGACAAGUACACAUUAACCCAUAUCAAAUAUGUGAUAAAAUCUACAUACAAAAUAAGCCGAUGCGUAAUCCAUUAAACCUUAAUAAGCACACCAGACAAAAAAUCCCAAAUCCCCAGCUACAAAUCUUUAAAACAGUAGAAGGACGUUACCAGAAAUGCCCAGUGAUCUUUGGUAUUCUUGAGAGCCAUUUCCGCUUCCUUUGAACUGGCUUAAGCAAUGGAGAAGAACACUCAACAGAAAAAUUACGAAUGUUGUAGCGCCUAUGCCCUCUUGAUUGAAUUUUUAAGGGGCAAAUCCUCCAUUUCUAAUCCAAUGGGGUUUUUGGCUCCUUGGCUCGCUUCCUUCCUUAAUUUACUGUUAAAAGCUGUCAUAACAGAAAAUCCAUGAUAGACAUGUCUUAAACGAUACCGUUUAUGUAAUGGCCAUCCGUUUCCUGUACAUUUACCGUUCCAUUGGUUAGCUAUUACCGGAGGAGGAUGUGGGACCCGUGAAUUGAACGGCUGUGAUCUCUUAUGAUGUGGAGCGUGGUAAACUGGUGGUACAUGAAUAUGGUUUUC